rnacentral:tRNA from 1 species
GCCGCCGUAGCUCAGUUGGUGGAGCACACGGCUGUUAACCGUGCGGUCGCCGGUUCGAAUCCGGUCGGCGGCG